rnacentral:tRNA from 1 species
GCCUGAGUGGCUUAGUCAGUUAAGCAUCUGACUUUGGCUCAGGUCAUGAUCCCACGGUUCGUGGGUUCAAGCCCCGCAUCAGACU